rnacentral:rRNA from 1 species
UACGAAGGGGGCUAGCGUUGUUCGGAAUUACUGGGCGUAAAGGGCGCGUAGGCGGUGUGUCAAGUCAGGCGUGAAAGCCCCGGGCUCAACCUGGGAACCGCGCUUGAGACUGGCACGCUAGAGUUCGGGAGAGGAUGGUGGAAUUCCCAGUGUAGAGGUGAAAUUCGUAGAUAUUGGGAAGAACACCGAUGGCGAAGGCAGCCAUCUGGACAGACACUGACGCUGAGGCGCGAAAGCGUGGGGAGCAAACAGG